GAUGACACCAAUGAGUGGUCUGUUUAAAGCCACGGGCCCAGAGGUGUUCCAAGACGCCUUCCAGCAAUGAACUCGAUGAUGAAAUGAUAUGGAACUUAUGAGCAAGAAGAAAUGCCCAUGGUGGACCAGGCACAGUUCUUGGAUUACUGCUGCCAGAAGAGUCUUCGCCACACUCUACAAUGGACAAAUCGGUACUGUCUGCCAGCUUGGAGUCCUCAGACGGGCCUGCGUAGAAGAGGAGGACACUAGCAGCGGAAGCAGUUACAUUCCCACCUAGGACAGCACCCACAGCAUGAGCAGGAUCCAGCAAG
rnacentral:lncRNA from 1 species